GUAGGGUAAAGGGAAACUGGUACCGACCCUUCGGGGAGCGUUGUACAGGUGCUGCAUGGCUGUCGUCAGCUCGUGUCGUGAGAUGUUCGGUUAAGUCCGCUAACGAGCGCAACCCUCGCUGUGUGUUACAAGUGUCACACGGAACUGCCGGUCAUAAACCGGAGGAAGGUGGGAUGACGUCAAGUCAGCAUGGCCUUUAUAUCCUGGGCUACACACACGCUACAAUGGGAAGGGACAAUAGGUUGCGAAGCCGCGAGGCGGAGCCAAUCCAGCAAAACUUCCCUCAGUUCAGAUUGCAGGCUGCAACCCGCCUGCAUGAAGUUGGAGUUGCUAGUAAACGCAGGUCAGCCAUACUGCGUUGAAUACGUUCCCGGGGCUU
rnacentral:rRNA from 1 species